rnacentral:rRNA from 1 species
UGGGGAAUAUUGGACAAUGGGGGAAACCCUGAUCCAGCGAUGCCGCGUGUGUGAAGAAGGCCUUAGGGUUGUAAAGCACUUUCAGUUGGGAGGAAAAGUUUAUGGUUAAUACCCAUAAGCCUUGACGUUACCAACAGAAGAAGCACCGGCUAACUCUGUGCCAGCAGCCGCGGUAAUACAGAGGGUGCAAGCGUUAAUCGGAAUUAUUGGGCGUAAAGCGCACGUAGGUGGGCUAAUAAGUUGGAUGUGAAAGCCCUGGGCUUAACCUGGGAAUGGCAUUCAAGACUGUUAGUCUAGAGUAUGGGAGAGGGAAGUGGAAUUUCUGGUGUAGCGGUGAAAUGCGUAGAUAUCAGAAGGAACAUCAGUGGCGAAGGCGACUUCCUGGCCUAAUACUGACACUAAGGUGCGAAAGCGUGGGGAGCAAACAG